rnacentral:lncRNA from 12 species
AGUGUUUCCAAUCCGUUCAUCCGGGGAGGUACAGAAGAAACAGAUUCUGAAUAAGGCUCAAAUCUGCUCCUGCUCUUCACGGCAUCUUGGGCAAAUCAGAAGUCAAAAUCAUACCUUUGUUGAAAAAAGUCGUGGGUCACUACUGACCCUUCUUCCCGUAUUCCCUAGGGGACAGUAACAGGAACACCGAUGACCAUCCAUCUGCAGGCGGGCCUACAGGACUCAAGUGGAUGCUUCACUGCUCGACUUUCAAAGGACACACUGUGAUCUUUCCCCCCCUCAUUUCGACUUUCUUAACAUCAACAUAUUGCUAAUCUCCUUCACACAGUCUCUCAUUUUGACUUCGCUGGCAUGACAAAACGGUGGGGGGUAGUGAACACUACAGUAAUGUUUUAUGAAGAACUAUCACGUAAAAAUUAAACGA